rnacentral:misc_RNA from 1 species
GAUGAAGAACGUAGCGAAAUGCGAUAAGUAAUGUGAAUUGCAGAAUUCAGUGAAUCAUCGAAUCUUUGAACGCACCUUGCACCCUUUGGCAUUCCGAAGGGUAUGCUCGUUUGAGUGUCAUUGUACUCUCACACUUCCAAUCUUUGGAUUGGGAGCAGUGGACUUGGGUGUUGCUGCUUACUGUGGCUCACCUCAAAUCGAUUCGUGCACCUCUUGGUUGGACAUAGUACGGCGUGAUAAGUGUCUUCGCCGGCACCUCAGUAGAGGGUGGCUGAUCAGGAGCUCUGUGCUUCAAACCGUCCUCGGACAAAAACUGACAACUUGACCUCAAAUCGAGUAGGACUACCCGCUGAACUUAAGCAUAUCAAUAAGGGAGGA